GUGGGGAAUAUUGGACAAUGGGCGAAAGCCUGAUCCAGCCAUGCCGCGUGUGUGAAGAAGGUCUUCGGAUUGUAAAGCACUUUAAGUUGGGAGGAAGGGCAGUAAGUUAAUACCUUGCUGUUUUGACGUUACCGACAGAAUAAGCACCGGCUAACUUCGUGCCAGCAGCCGCGGUAAUACGAAGGGUGCAAGCGUUAAUCGGAAUUACUGGGCGUAAAGCGCGCGUAGGUGGUUCAGCAAGUUGGAGGUGAAAUCCCCGGGCUCAACCUGGGAACUGCCUCCAAAACUACGGGGCUAGAGUACGGUAGAGGGUAGUGGAAUUUCCUGUGUAGCGGUGAAAUGCGUAGAUAUAGGAAGGAACACCAGUGGCGAAGGCGACUACCUUGACUGAUACUGACACUGAGGUGCGAAAGCGUGGGGAGCAAACAGGAUUAGAAACCCCGGUAGUCC
rnacentral:rRNA from 1 species